AACUGCGAGUGAAGCGGGAAAAGCUCAAAUUUAAAAUCUGGCGGUCUUUGGCUGUCCGAGUUGUAAUUUAGAGAAGUGCCUUCCGCGCCGGACCAUGCAAAAGUCUCCUGGAAUGGAGCGUCAUAGAGGGUGAGAAUCCCGUCUUUGGCAUGGAUGCUCGGUGCUUCUGUGAUGCGCUCUCGAAGAGUCGAGUUGUUUGGGAAUGCAGCUCAAAAUGGGUGGUGAACUCCAUCUAAAGCUAAAUAUUGGCGAGAGACCGAUAGCGAACAAGUACCGUGAGGGAAAGAUGAAAAGCACUUUGGAAAGAGAGUGAAACAGUACGUGAAAUUGUUGAAAGGGAAACGCUUGAAGUCAGUCGCGUCGACCAAGACUCAGCCUUGCCUCGGCUCGGUGUACUUCUUGGCUGACGGGCCAGCAUCAAUUUCGUCUCUCGGAUAAUGGUGAGGGAAAGGUGGCACCCUUACGGGUGUGUUAUAGUCCCUUGUCGCAUGCGAGGGGUGGGAUUGAGGAACUCAGCACGCGCCUUUAGGUGUCGGGGCUUCGGCCC
rnacentral:rRNA from 1 species